rnacentral:rRNA from 1 species
UACGUAGGUGGCAAGCGUUGUCCGGAUUUACUGGGCGUAAAGAGCGCGCAGGCGGUCGUGCAAGUCGCGUGUGAAAGCCCCCGGCUCAACUGGGGAGGGUCACGCGAUACUGCUCGACUUGAAGGCAGGAGAGGGAAGUGGAAUUCCCGGUGUAGUGGUGAAAUGCGUAGAUAUCGGGAGGAACACCAGUGGCGAAGGCGAGUCCCUGGACGAUACCUAACACUGAGGCGCGAAAGCCGGGGGAGCAAACAGG